rnacentral:rRNA from 1 species
GAUGAACGCUGGCGGCGUGCCUAAUACAUGCAAGUCGAGCGAACGGACGAGAAGCUUGCUUCUCUGAUGUUAGCGGCGGACGGGUGAGUAACACGUGGAUAACCUACCUAUAAGACUGGGAUAACUUCGGGAAACCGGAGCUAAUACCGGAUAAUAUUUUGAACCGCAUGGUUCAAAAGUAAAAGACGGUCUUGCUGUCACUUAUAGAUGGAUCCGCGCUGCAUUAGCUAGUUGGUAAGGUAACGGCUUACCAAGGCAACGAUGCAUAGCCGACCUGAGAGGGUGAUCGGCCACACUGGAACUGAGACACGGUCCAGACUCCUACGGGAGGCAGCAGUAGGGAAUCUUCCGCAAAGGGCGAAAGCCUGACGGAGCAACGCCGCGUGAGUGAUGAGGGUCUUCGGAUCGUAAAACUCUGUUAUUAGGGAAGAACAUAUGUGUAAGUAACUGUGCACAUCUUGACGGUACCUAAUCAGAAAGCCACGGCUAACUACGUG